AUUGAACGCUGGCGGCAGGCCUAACACAUGCAAGUCGAACGGUAACAGGGAUCUGCUUGCUGAUUCGCUGACGAGUGGCGGACGGGUGAGUAAUGUCUGGGACACUGCCUGAUGGAGGGGGAUAACUACUGGAAACUGUAGCUAAUACCGCAUAACGUCGGAAGAUCAAAGAGCGGGACCUUCGGGCCUAUCGCCUUCGCCUAUGUCCAGUUGGGAUUAGCUAGUAGGUGGGGUAACGGCUCACCUAGGCGACGAUCCGUAGCUGGUCUGAGAGGAUGACCAGCCACACUGGAACUGAGACACGGUCCAGACUCCUACGGGAGGCAGCAGUGGGGAAUAUUGCACAAUGGGCGCAAGCCUGAUGCAGCCAUGCCGCGUGUAUGAAGAAGGCCUUCUGAUUGUAAAGUACUUUCAGCGGGGAGGAAGGGAAUAAAGUUAAUACCUUUGCUCAUUGACGUUACCAGCAGAAGAAGCACCGGCUAACUCCGUG
rnacentral:rRNA from 1 species